rnacentral:rRNA from 1 species
UGGUGGGUAGUUUGACUGGGGCGGUCUCCUCCUAAAGAGUAACGGAGGAGCACGAAGGUUGGCUAAUCCUGGUCGGACAUCAGGAGGUUAGUGCAAUGGCAUAAGCCAGCUUGACUGCGAGCGUGACGGCGCGAGCAGGUGCGAAAGCAGGUCAUAGUGAUCCGGUGGUUCUGAAUGGAAGGGCCAUCGCUCAACGGAUAAAAGGUACUCCGGGGAUAACAGGCUGAUACCGCCCAAGAGUUCAUAUCGACGGCGGUGUUUGGCACCUCGAUGUCGGCUCAUCACAUCCUGGGGCUGAAGUAGGUCCCAAGGGUAUGGCUGUUCGCCAUUUAAAGUGGUACGCGAGCUGGGUUUAGAACGUCGUGAGACAGUUCGGUCCCUAUCUGCCGUGGGCGCUGGAGAACUGAGGGGGGCUGCUCCUAGUACGAGAGGACCGGAGUGGACGCAUCACUGGUGUUCGGGUUGUCAUGCCAAUGGCACUGCCCGGUAGCUAAAUGCGGAAAAGAUAAGUGCUGAAAGCAUCUAAGCACGAAACUUGCCCCGAGAUGAGUUCUCCCUGAGACCUAGAGUCUCCUGAAGGAACGUUGAAGACGACGACGUUGAUAGGCCGGGUGUGUAAGCGCAGCGAUGCGUUGAGCUAACCGGUACUAAUGAACC